GCCAGUGUGGUAUAGUGGUUUGAGCAUUGGACUAUUACUCUGGAGAUCAGGGUUCAAUUUUCUGCUCAUUCA
rnacentral:tRNA from 1 species